UCCUUCUUAGCUCAGUUGGUAGAGCGCGUCACUAGUAACAAGUAGACAACUUAUGACGAGGUCAGUCGUUCAAGUCGGCUAGAAGGAA